rnacentral:lncRNA from 1 species
UGCGAGUUGCUUAGCAAGUUGUCCAACUUGAGUCUCGAGAUUUUUUAUAGCCGCGUCGUUGCUCUUUUGAUUUGCCAUUGACAUUUGCAUGAAUUGUGUCAAUGUCUCUUCCAACUUAGAAGUUACGAUCGGCGGUUGUUGAGGUUGAUAAGGAUUUUGGGGAGGAUUUUGACGGCUAGAAGGACCACCUCCAUAACCUUGGUUAUGGUAAUAGUUACUCCUAGGUUGGAACCCUUGGUUCCCUUGGAAAUGUUGUUGUUGAUUUUGAGGGUGUGG